rnacentral:rRNA from 1 species
UACGAAGGGGGCUAGCGUUGCUCGGAAUCACUGGGCGUAAAGCGCACGUAGGCGGCUUUCUAAGUCAGGGGUGAAAUCCUGGAGCUCAACUCCAGAACUGCCUUUGAUACUGGAGAGCUUGAGUCCGGAAGAGGUGAGUGGAACUCCGAGUGUAGAGGUGAAAUUCGUAGAUAUUCGGAAGAACACCAGUGGCGAAGGCGGCUCACUGGUCCGGUACUG